GUCUGUACCACACAGAGGACCCUCUUAGUGAUGUCUACAAGAGCCAUUAGAAGGGAAAAAAACUCAGAACUUACCUGUCAACUUCACUGCUUGUUGGCCGAGCCACCUUGGCUCCUGAAGACCCUAAGGUGUAACUCUCCUGUCCUACAGAACCAUGGCCUGUGGUGUCAAUUACCAUGGCUGUGACUUCCUCUGCACUACUCCCAUCUUCUCCAGAAGGCUGAUUCUCAGGCCCAAGCCACUCCUCGAGAUUUUCAGUUUUGAUGUGCACUGCUCCAAGAACCCUAACUUCAUCAUCACUCCGGCCACCCCGGUCUGCUACUCCUGUCUCCACAUACCACUGUCCUGCUCGGUUGAUUCGAAGAAUGGGCUCCCGGCUUUCUACAUCAGAACUCUGUUCAAUUAUCUGAGGGCUGGUGGACUCCUCAGGGGGACUUAGCUCUCUGAUAUCUAGCACAGCACUGACCUGCCCUCGCCGGUUUCCCUUUGGGGUAUUAUGUCGUGGGCUAAGGGAGCGGUUUAGAUUUGGUGUAACCCUGUGAGACUCAGGAGGCCUAUCUUGAUGCUUUGUCCUUGUUUGACUUAAUUCUGCUUCAACCUCAGCCACAUUAAUUUUGAAAUGAAUACCCUCUAGGAUCUGUGUACAUUUGUCUAUAAUAUGCUGCAUUUGCAGAAAACUGGCAGCUGUUAGGUAGCUGAUGAUAUCUGCCAGCUGCAGGCAUAUCCGCCCCGUGUAACAGAAAGAAAGAAGCUGUUCAAAAACAGUAGGGUUCUUGAUGACUGAAAUGGAGACAGUACUCAUUUCAUUCAAGGACAUAUGAUCCCGGAAAUAGGGGGAGCUGGCCGCCAGUACCACUUUAUGAGCCCGAAAAGCUUGUCCUUGCACAUUGACCACAAUAUCACAGAGACGGCCCUGCAUGCGCAGUUGAUUUAGAUGGCUGAGGACUGAGUUGCUGAAGUCAGGGAUCUCCAAUUGUAUGUUCCCACCUUUCUCCAUGGUCGUGCCUGAAGGUGCAGGCAGGCAUUCAACCCUGCUGAAAGAAACCAUGUUCUCAUUAAUCAUAAUUUUAUUACCCUGAUGCUUUUUAGUUCAAACAUACUUAAAAAUAUCAUUUGGUAAAAUCUCCAAGUACAAAGAGAU
rnacentral:lncRNA from 1 species